AUUGAACGCUGGCGGCAGGCCUAACACAUGCAAGUCGAGCGAGUGGCGGACGGGUGAGUAAUGUAUGGGGACUGCCCGAUAGAGGGGGAUAACUACUGGAAACGGUGGCUAAUACCGCAUACUAUCGGAUAACCCAUAUGGGAUUAGCUAGUGGGUGGGGAAAAGGCUCACCUAGGCGACGAUCUCUAGCUGGGCUGAGAGGAUGAUCAGCCACAUGGGGACUGGGACACGGCCCAGACUCCUACGGAGGCAGCAGUGGGGAAUAGUGCACAAGGGGGGCAAUCCUGAUGCAGCCAUGCCGCGUGUAUGAAGAAGGCCUUAGGGUUGUAAAGUACUUUCAGCGGGGAGGCGUUACCCGCAGAAGAAGCACCGGCUAACUCCGUGCCAGCAGCCGCGGUAAUAC
rnacentral:rRNA from 1 species